rnacentral:rRNA from 1 species
CAGCAUCUGGACAUACGAUCAUUCCCUGUACACGAUCAAAAGAUCUACCGGACAAGGCCUUCGGGUUGUAAAGCUCUUUCAGGUGGAAAGAAAUCGCAUCUUUUAAUACAGGGGUGGAUGACGGUACCAUCAGAAGAAGCACCGGCUAACUACGUGCCAGCAGCCGCGGUAAUACGUAGGGUGCGAGCGUUAACGGAAUUAAUGGGCGUAAAGCGUGCGCAGGCGGUUAUGUAAGACAGAUGUGAAAUCCCCGGGAUCAACCUGGGAACUGCGCUUUGUGACUGCAUAACUAGAGUACGGCAGGAGGGAGGUGAAUUCCGCGUGUAGCAGUGAAAUGCGUAGAGAUGCGGAGGAACACCGGGCGAAGGCAGCCUCCUGGGCCAGUACUGACGCUCAUGCACGAAACGCGUGGGGAGCCAAACAGGAUUAGAUACCCUGGUAGUCCACCCCCUAAACGAUGUCAACAGUUGUUCGGUGAGGAGACUCAUUGAGUAACGCAGCUAACGCGUGAAGUUGACCGCCUGGGGAGUCGGCCGCAAGGUUAAAACCAAAGGAAUUGACGGGGACCCGCACAAGCGGUGGAUGAUGUGGAUUAAUUCGAUGCAACGCGAAAAACCUUACCUACCCUUGACAUGCCAGGAACUUGCCAGAGAUGGCUUGGUGCCCGAAAGGGAACUUGGACACAGGUGCUGCAUGGCUGUCGUCAGCUCGUGUCGUGAGAUGUCGGAC